UUCCGGUUGAUCCUGCCGGAGGUCACUGCUAUUGGGAUUCGAUUAAGCCAUGCGAGUCGAGAGGGUUCGGCCCUCGGCGGACUGCUCAGUAACACGUGGAUAAUCUGCCCUUAGGUGGAGCAUAACCUCGGGAAACUGAGAAUAAUACUCCAUAGGUCUAGGAUGCUGGAAUGCGCCUAGGACUCAAAGAUUUAUCGCCUAAGGAUGAGUCUGCGGACUAUCAGGUUGUAGUCAGGAUAAAGGCCUGACUAGCCUACGACGGAUACGGGUUGUGAGAGCAAUAACCCGGAGGAUGAUAUCUGAGACACGAUAUCGGGCCCUACGGGGCGCAGCAGGCGCGAAACCUUCACACUGUGCGAAAGCGCGAUGAGGGGAUCCCAAGUGCUUGCUCUUAGGAGUAAGCUGUUUUCCUGUCUAAAUCGCAGGAAGAGGAAGGGCUGGGUAAGACGGGUGCCAGCCGCCGCGGUAAUACCUGCAGCUCAAGUGGUGACCGCUAUUAUUGGGCCUAAAACGUCCGUAGCCGGCUGAGUAAAUGCCUGGGUAAAUCGUGUCGCUUAACGAUACGAAUUCCGGGUAGACUGCUUAGCUUGAGACUGGGAGAAGCUAGAGGUACUCCUGGGGUAGAGGUGAAAUUCUGUAAUCCUGGGGGGACCACCAGUGGCGAAAGCGUCUAGCUAGAACGGGUCUGACGGUGAGGGACGAAACCCUGGGGCGCGAACCGGAUUAGAUACCCGGGUAGUCCAGGGCGCAAACGCUGCUUGCUUGAUGUUAGUUGGGCUCCGAGCUCAAGCUAGUGUCGGAGAGAAGUUGUUAAGCAAGCUGCCUGGGAAGUACGAUCGCGAGAUUGAAACUUAAAGGAAUUGGCGGGGGAGCACAGCAACGGGAGGAGCGUGCGGUUUAAUUGGAUUCAACGCCGGGA
rnacentral:rRNA from 1 species